AGUCUCCAUGACGAGAAUUACGCCGCCCCAGUCUGACCCCUGACGAACGGCUUCUCUGAUC
rfam:Giardia lamblia ATCC 50803 SC_578 genomic scaffold, whole genome shotgun sequence.